AUCUAAAAGGACGAUAGACAUAGUAGCGAAGUGGAGAAGAGUUCGAUCGGCCUCGUCCCUCGCUCGUCGAUCCAUCGAUUCGCGAUUUCACUAUUUAGUGAUCGAUCGAUCGGUCCGUCUCCUUCGCUUUGGAUUGCGUGUUCGACGAGACUUGCACGAACUUGAGCGUUUAUGAGAAUCACACGAAAGAUGUCAUCCAAGCGGCAGUCAAGGGAUUCAAUGUGGACUUGAUUGUUUGAAGCUUUCAACAAAUUGUGGGCAGAUCUCGAAGAGGCUGGUCUUGCUGUGAAGAAGGAAUCAUCUACAUCAAGAUUACCAAGAUCACAGUGUGGUGGGGAGGUCAUAGAGCCACUCGUCGGUAAGCAGUGGUAUGUAGUCAUGGGGCCUUAGUGCACUGGAAAACGGGGAUAUAUCUAUCAUUCUUGAGAGGUUUGGAAAGCCAUAACCUGUGCGAUCAAGGUGGUGCAGCCCUAAUCAAUGAUGGGUCUUCUCAUAUGACGUCGUUUGAAACAGGUAUGCUAACCUGGUCUCUCUGUUUAAGGCUCUGCGUCGUCCCUCGCUGACGCACCUCUUGCCGUAUGUUAUCUCUUUUUGUCUCUUCAUUCGUUUGUUCCCUCCAACGCGGUAGCCCUCAAAUUGGUUGAUGAAAUGUCAGUGUGUAUGUACACUCUGUUUUUUUUUAAUGCUUCAAUUUAUGUUAUUAGUUCACAAUGGCGAUCGAGGGCGGCAACGAUUGCAUCAAGAGGAUCUCGACGUCGAUCCGUGUGAUCCCAAAUUUCCCGAAGCCCGUCUGCUGCCAUCUACCAGUGGUUGUCGGCAGCCAGCGAAUCACCUCCAACAAUCAUUCCCUGAGAUGCGCAUCGAAGCCUCAAAGGUUAGACGCUUAGAACAGGGGUAGUUUAUUGUCAUGCAUCCGAGAGGGAGUGGUAGGGGUUGCUUGAAGGGUUUUAACUUGCAAGGUUUUCUGAUGAUGCCACAGUUAAGAUGCUUCCAACACCAUAGUGCAGGACUUAACCUUCGAUUCUACCAUGCAUCAAAAAAGUGAUAGUGAUCAAUCCUUUGACUUGUCUUAGACCUUUCGUAUGUAUGAUUAUGAUGCAGAAAUCGUAUUUCAGUACUCAUCUAAUUUAAGUUCUUGCCUGGAGAGUCGGUGAAAUUUCAGAAAGAAUAGAUUUGUAUUGGAAUUUGAUAGGAGACUAAUUGUGUGACACUUCAACAUAUUUUGUAGGAGCCUUAGUUGGACUUUGAAAUGUGAGCUUGGAAUUGAUUUAGAUAUAUGUUGUUAUAUGAUCUAAUGUAGUCUAUCAACCCUCGUGAGUGAAACUAGGGAUUUAGGAUUAAGUUUUGAAUUGUAAACCUCUAAGUACAAUAACAAUAUACUAGAGUUAGGGUUCAUUUAGGUUGCAUUGCUAUUCCUAUGGGCAUUUACGGAAGAGAGAUAGUAACUUGUACACAAGGGCAUACAUAUAUUCUCGUAUGUGAUUACCUUUAGUGGUCAAUUAAUGUGUUGACCUUAUGUUGCAAGCAUGACUUUUUAGCCUUCUAAGUAAUGUUAGAUGGCUGUGGUUAUAGUUGGGGUGUCACAUUCAAGUGCUUCAGGUAUUAUUGGUCAUUCCAGCCUACUGUUGGACGCUUGUCGCUCAACCUUGUGGUUGGUUGAGUUGCACACUAAAGGUUUUAUUUAGGGUUCUUUUUUGUGUGGUUUCGAAAAAGUCAGGAGAUAAUGGUAAUAGGUUUAUGGUGAAAAAAACAUCUAAAUGCAAAAAAUGGACAAAAGGUAUGUGGGAGCACUAGCUAUUAGAAGGUUCUUUGUCUACUAUCGCAAACAUUUGUGUAUAUGCAAUUUAUAUGUGUAUGUGCAUGAUCUAUAAAGCUAUAUGCACAAGUGCGUAUAUAACCGUAGCCUUGCAUAUAUAUACAUUUGACUAUAUAAGUAAUUAUAUGUAAGCAUUUUUAUUCUUUUUGUAAUUCUAUUUUUCUAAUUUUUAUGUUUGUGCAAGCUCAGCUUGGUCAAAUCGAGUCUGACCAAGCUAUGGUCAGGUCUCAUACUGCUCCCUCCUUCAAAAUGUUGUAUCUUUUUGUUUUUUUUUAGUAUAUGUAGGUGAUUCUUUUCUGUGCUGUUUUAAACAACUUUUAAGUAUUAUUCAUUAUAGUUUCACUAUUCAAUUCAGAUCUGUGAGUUUUUUAGGCCUUAGUGCCUUAUAUUAUCACCAAGAGGGAGGGACUUCUCAACUAUAUCGAAGCUGAAUUCUGCACACAAAUACCUGCACUUACAAAGCUCAAGUUGAAAUUCUCAGGAAAUUUUCUAAAGGAAGUUGUGAUCCAUUUGAUAUACUACCUGCCUUUUGCUCGUGAAAAGUUUCAUGUUUCAGGCGGAAUUCUCAAAUCUGUCCAUCCCCAUAGUCUUAUCCCCUCAUCCAACAAUUUUUUCCACAAUUAUUGCCCGUUGUUUCACUAAACCUGACCUUUAGGCCAAUGUUUUCCAAUGCUUAAGCUUGCUUUGCUAAAAGUGACACUAUGCACAAUUUUCAACCUGCUCAUAAAUGCAAAGAGGGGCAUAUAUUUAAAUGCAAUAUUUUCUUACAUUCUAGAUCCUAAAGGCCCAAACUGGUCCAAAUUUUUCUAAAAUUUCCUUCCAAGUUCUUUAUUUUUGGACCUAAUGAUUAUGAUCUGGGACAAUGACAAGGCCCAAGUUCUUUACUUCUCCCAACAACCUUGUACACAUGAAACCUUUGAAAUCAAUACCUUUAAAAGAGUAGUGACUGUAUUUUGUUUUACAAAAACGCCAAAAAGAUACUGCAAUGACGGUUUUACAUGUAUGGAAACUGUUACUGAGAGCAGGGGUAGUUGUUACAAUUGUCUUUUGGGCCUCGGUUUUCCAUGAUUACAAUUGCUCAAUGUUGUGUCGGCAACUUAUGGGGAUUUUCCAUUCAUAUAGCUGUCUGGUAGCUAAGUUGUGUACCAUUUGACCAUUAGGAGAGGGAAAAAGUGUCCUUAUUUUAUUUCUGUCGGCAGCUUGACACUGUGAUUACCGCAGCUGCCUGUAUCAAAUCCAAUAAUGACUAGCAAGGGAAUGAAUAGGUAUGGCACUUAUGAAAAAAAUUACAAAAUGUGGGUUUUUCAGGUUGCAGGCAAAAUGUAGGCUCAAAAAGGAGAUUUCUCAAAUUUCUGUUUAGGGACAUAGUUAGAAAUGAAACAUAUUAAUACCAAGCUGGGAUUGAAAUUUGAAAGCAUGGUCAUCAGUUAAAAAACUGUUGUUGAAAUGCAUUUAUAACUUAAAGUUUUUCAUUAAUCCUGUCUUAUCCUAUUGUCAUAGAGGUAAUCAGGUAGAUCGCCUCAGACCCUCCAAGCAUGGAGUUGGUCUUUGACUUUGAUCUUGGAUUGGCAAAGCUACUUAGAUGAUUUGGAUGUAACAACUCAGGGAGUUGGAGCGACAUAUUUUAAAUUUUUAGUUAAUGGAAAAUAGACAUAGAAAGCAGCCAGGCGUAGUGCAAGAAUUCCUUAAUCUCUUUCACAACAAGCACUCCUUAGAGAGGGAGAGAAAGAGAGAGAGAGUCGAUAAGUUGUUGCCUUGCUUGAAAAAAAUUACCAAUGGAUAGUUUGAGGAUGUGAGGAGGGAGCUACAUGGUGCCAAACACUUUUUAUGUGUCUGUCCCUUUGCAAUGGUAGAAUAAUAUUUUUUGCAUAUGGGAGUGUAAAAAAAAUUAUCGAUUUGUUGGUAUGACACUUUGGGAUUCAUGUAACUAAUUUGCAUGUCCAAGUUAUCCAUCUUAUCUAAGUUGGUGCUCACUGUGCCUGUUGUCUAGAUUUGUACGUUUCCAGUGAAUAGUUGGUAUGAACUGUGAAUUUUUACCUGCAGAAUCUUAGUUUGUUUAUGGUUCAAAAUUCAAAUACCUGUUUUAUAUAUCUGCUUAUAAUGAAAUGGAUAAAAUAUGUUGAUUUCAAACAAAAAAAAGAUCUGAUUGUUGGAACUAGAACUGACUAAUUAUAUUCAGAGUGAUUACUGAUUUCCCAAUAUAAUCUAAUUUUUGAAUGGUCAGAUCAGCUCUCAAACAGAAAAUCCAAUGUACACAUGAUCCACAUCCAGUUCUGUCUAAAACGAACCGGAUUCUCAAUGGUUCCAGAGUUUCCUUCAUAAUUUGGAUCAAAUCUAAAUUGAAUGUGCUAAUGGCAACUAAAGCAAUUACAAGCCAAAAACUUAAACACACGAAGCAAAAGAAGAAUUCAUCUCAGAGAAAGUUCAGAUCCAAAGCAACAUUUAAAUAAAAUUGAAAAUAAAUUAAAACAUUUAUCCAUGUUUCCAUAAACAUAUACAAGGCCUUCCCCGUAACACUUCCAUCACCGUCCAAAAAAAACCGUGUACGUUACUUAAUUAAAGCACUUACCGUAACAAUCCAUCUCACAAAAAUUUCUGCCCGUUAGGGCUCGCACGUUUCGUGAAUGGUUCCCUGGAUCAUCCUCCUCUUCACCAUGCGGCAGCAGCUCCCCUCCUCCUCUCCACCACAGUGCAGCCGCAUGUCUCCUCCCCCUCCUCCCCUAGAGCACUUUUCUGCAGUAGCAAAACCCCAGCUGCUAGGUGCGCGCGCUCUCUCUCUCUCUCAUGCUUUCUCUCCGUCUCUUAUUCCUGCUAUCUCAGUCUGAUGUUCUUCUUCUUUUAGCUAAUAUUCUUGGUUAAUACUUUUGCAUUUUGUUCAGUUAAUUCUCUUUCGUUUCAUUUUUUAUUUUGUCCCGUUGUUGAAUGAGGAAAGCAGAACUCCUCGUUUUGGCCUCUUUCUUUCUUAGUUGUGGUGAUUAUUGUCUCUCACCUUGCCCCCUUUUUCUUCUGUUGUAUCAAUACGGCCAAUGCAUUCUAGAACAUGCAAUGGGAAACCUUGGUUGUUUUUUAAAUUAUCAUGUCUCAUAUUUCCCCACCCUAAAACACCGGUAGUUUGGUUGUUGCUUUUGUUGCAUCCAUGUUUGGGAACGGCCUUCAACAUGCCAAACUGUCUCAUAUCUAUUUUUUUCAGAAUGAUACCCAUUCGAACCUGUGCUUUUAGUAUUUUGUGUGUGUCCUAGUUUGUGUCUCUCUUUUGGUGUUCAAUCAAGUAGGACAAAGAGUAGGUUGGAAUCUGUCGGUUCAAUUUUAGGCUUACCCAUUAAUUCUUUUUUCUCCUUGUUGAUCACUUGUAUUUUGUGCUCCUCAAAAUGCCCAUGUAUGUGUGCUUUAUAUUUUUGACUGCUACUUGUGAUUGGUUUACUUAGAUUUUGUAAUUUCAGUAUUAUUUUAUUUAUCUGGAUGGUAUUUUCAUUGUCAUGCUUCCUUUGUGUCACAUUAAUCUUUUGACAUUUGUGGCUUGGGCCGGUUCAGCCAGUUGUAUUACUAGGAGGACAGCAACACAUAUCAACUCUUGGGAAGCCAUUUCCCAAUAUUUCAAUGGUUGCCUCUCGAGGUAUCACAAUAGGUCUUUCGGAAGAGCCAAACAAGUAAUUGUCAAAGCAUGUUUGGCAUCUAAUUCUGUUCUCAUUGCUUUAUACCAUUGACUGUAUUUAAUUUGUUCUCAGACAUCAUAAUAUUUGACCAACGGAAUUCUUUGUCAAAAUUAUAUAUCAUUUAUGGGAGCACGUUGUUGUUCAAUGGAAAGCCUUAGUUGGAGCAUCAAAUGUACUUGGGAUCAUAUUCAGAUUUGAUAGAUUGGUUAUCAAAUUUAGUUCAGGCUCAGGCAUCUGCAUUUAAAUCACUGUUCGUUUGGAUCUGAAACUCCUUAUCUGAUCUAGCAUGUUAUCUGUCACCUUUUAUCACUGCCCAUAAGAGAAUUGAUGUAGUUCAUUUUUUACCUAGUCAACCCAUCUAGUUUUGCAAGCACCCUUCUCUUUAGAGCGAAAAGUGUUUCUACCUCGAAAGAGAUAUUCCAUUUGAUGUCAAGAUCAUUUCUAAAACAGAACUUUUCUAUCUUGCUUAAAAAUGUUUUAGAAGUAUUUUUUCACACAAUGAUAUGCCUUCAUUUUAUUUGUAGUACAUCCUCGAGUAAUAGGAGAAAAUUUCAAAUUUUUGUUGUCAAUCAAUGGAAGAGGAAAACUCGAAAAAUCCUGAGUAUGAACAAUGAGGAAAAAUCCUAUGAAGCUGAGAAAGUCGAGAAUAGGAAAUGCUAUUGACUCCGCUAAUUAAGCAUAUGCAAGGAUUUAGCAGGAGAAUACUCUACGAGAGAAGCCGUGAUGCUUUGUAAAAUCUUGACAGGUAGCAAAAUGAGAGUUGAGGGAUGGGCUCGGGGCUUGUGUAGUUGUUCCUCUAGGUCGGUAAUCAAGAGUACCGGGUAGGCAUAUAGUUGAUUUAUGUCUAUGCCGAGAAGAUAACGACUUAUGAACUUUUGGAUCGUUGAAAGCCUGCAAGGUGAAGCGGGUUGGAUACGUGACAAAACUACAUAUAACCACCAAAGUGGUGGAGCUUCGUAGUAGCCUUUGGGGUGGUGAGGUAUUCCCUCAAAGGUGAAGGUCAGCCUGAAAAAUAAAAUCAAAAGGCAAACCAAAUGCAAAAGAAUGAAAGAAAAAAAAAGAAAUGAAAAAGCAAAAGGUAUCUGUCAAGAAAUGAAAGGCAUGAUGGCUGAACUUGCAGAAAUUGAAUGCGACAAUCUUUUGCAGAUGUGCGAUUUUGGUGUCAAUUCUACUCCUCUUUUUGAUUUCCUAAGAUGCUGAAGACCAUUCCUUUAUGUUCAUAUUUUGGAAAUUGAGGGAGAUCCCUUCUAGAGAUUCCACAACAUUUAUGUGAAAUGGAUCCUGAUGCUUGUAUGGUACUGUGAGUAAAAAUGAUGGUCAUAUUAUUUGCACAACACGAGCACUCAAGCUUAUGAGUUAAUGGAUGAUUUAUGAACUAUUUCAAACUAAAGGCUUGACAUCUCUUGUUAUAUUUUUUGGUCUUUUGGGUGUAAGAGAAACUAACCCAAUCCCCCUUUGGUCUUGAAAAAUGUUGGCCCUUCCAUUACCAAGCUACUAGUACAUUAAUUGAAUACACAAAACCUCUUGUAUACUCAAGUUGAGUGUGAUGCUCCCUCAUCUCCUCUUUUUUAAAAAAGAUGUGCCUAACUUGAACCAUUAUUCCAUCUUAACUGGGUGUCUUCAACCUGCUUUUCAAAACCUGCUUUUCAACGGCAUAUCUAGUGUAAUAGUGUUUUGAGAACUGAAAGAAAUCAUAGUUAACUGGGUUUAAUUUUUUUUGCAAGGAAUCUGAUUUGACCUGGUGAUUGCAUAGUUUAUGUGAAUAGAUUGCUUGCAGCAGAAUCUCAACGUCUUCGUCCAAAUCAAGUUUCAAAAUUACCAGAAUUGAGUUCUGAUUUUAAGCAUCAUUGGAGUUCAGCUAAUGUGCGUGUGGGACAACUUUAAGUUAAAGUCAUUUAGGCUUCUUUGUUCAUCAUCUAAGUCUGUUUACACUCAGUUGCCAUCUACCCUUAGUCUAGUUUAGUUUAGAGAGUAGGUUUAUUUUGGUUGUUUUCUGUUUUAAGUAUGUUGUUAGAAGGUAAACUAAAAUAUUUACUAGGUCUAGCUUAGAGUUUGGUUCUUACUCCUCUAGGUUAGUGCUUGCUUUGUUCUCAUUUUGUUUCAAGUUGUUGAUGGUAGGAGUAGGUGCUUUUGGAGAAAUUAAAGGCUAGAUGCAUCCAGAGUGUUGUGGAGUUGGAGCACAAAUUGAAGAUCUGAGACAGGCUAGUCCUUCGAUGACGAGUGCAUAUUUUUUGGUCUAUCUUUUUUAAUAUAUGUCUGUUCCUGUGUUCAAUCAGGAUUUGCAACUUACUGGAGUCUAGCUCUAGCUGUAAAUUUAAAAAUUGAUGCAUGGUUUUCAUUGGAUUUUAUCUAAAAUAUUAUUUUAGAUGACUUUAACAUGAAAAUAGCAUCAAGUUUUUGUCCCAAAAGAAUACCAAAAAUAUCUUCUAUUGCCUUUUAGGUAAAUAUUUGCAACGUUAGUUAGUGUUCAAGAUUGUUCAGUUUCAAAACAUAGGAUCAGACUGAUAUGGUGAACCCUAGCAUUUGCCUUGACUUGACAGAUCUUGGGUUUGAUCUAUUGUCAAAUCAAUUCAUUCAUUGAUCAGUUCCCUGGAAACCCAAGAUCAAUCUUGUUAUGGUCUUUGUCGAGCAUGUGUGUGUGAUAGAUGUGCUUGUCUUAGUUUAUUAAUCAUUGAGAUAGUUUUCUAGUUUCUGAAAUGUUGAAAAUAAAAUUCUGGUAAGACGUGGAGUGGAAGAAUAAGUUUUCAAUGCUGCAUAAUUUUUCCAUUUGUCUUGAUUAAGAAUUUGUUUGUACUUUGUAGUACUUUGCGAUAUUUAUCAGUUAAUCUCUUGUAUUUCUCUCCCAAUUCGUUUUUUCAGUGCUUUUAUUCAUAAUCUUGUGAGAGGUCAACUUCUAAGCUUGUCAACAUCGGGUGCUCAAUGAAGUUCUUCUUCUUUCUGUGGUUGUUUGACUGUGUAUACACUGCUCUCUGUUGCUCUAGCACAUGCUGAUGACCCAUCAACUGCAUCUAUGGUCAGGGAACUUGCUGAAAUCCUUUUACUAGGUUGUCUUAUUUCAUAUUAUUUAACGUUAUGGUAGAUAAGAUGGAAGUUCUACAUGUGCACUACUUUUUAUGAAAUGUACAAAAUAUUUGAGAACGAAUAAGGCUGAUUUUGUUGUUUAAAUGUGGGAAUUGCUGGCUCACAUGCAUGUUGCUGGACCCAUACAUUCGGACUUAUCAUCUUCGAUGCAAAUCUCACCCUCACCCGGAGAGUGGCCUUUCUACAAUCACAGAACUAGAUUCUAAAUGUAUAAGAGGUAAGUCACUAUGCAUCAGAAAAAGUUUCAUUGACAAAAACUUUUCAUGGAAAAGAUGCGACAUGGAUGUGGAAACUGUGAGUUUAUUACGAUCUGACAUGUGGUGAGAUUGGUGAGAUCUAUAGUGAGUUCAGUGAAGUUCCCGGUGAAGUUCCCAGGCUCGGUUGGAGCGAGCGACACCCAUCCAAAAACCUUGGUUGGUUCUGAAAGGAUCCAGGUAGACUCAUGUAGGCAAAAUGGUUCGAGCCAGAGGAUAGAAAGAGGACUAGGAAUUGGUACGUUCCAAUUGAGUCAAAGUGGAUGUGGGUAUCUUGAUCGAUCGCAUAUUCGCAUGGCUUUGGUCUAAUAAAUGGUUGGGUCCACCGUCUCUUUCCGCAGUCUCUUUCCACAGGUACGACCGGUCGAUGACCCAGCAUAUCCUUCAAGGGUUUGUAAGAGUCGUUAUCUUUUAUUAUUAGUAUUUUUUUCUGUUUACAUUUUGAGUGUCUUCUGAUGAUAUCAAAGUUUAAAGCACAACUCAUCAGUGUUCUUGUGGAUGUUCAGUGGUUUUGAAAUACCAAUUCUGUACUUACCUCCAUUGGAUGGGAGUUUGAUAGCUUUGUCUAAUUCAAGUUUUUAUUAGAGUUGGCAACAAAGUUGUAGCAUCCAAGUUGAUUUGCAUGAAACUAAUGCAGGCUGCAAAAGGUGUCUUUCAGCCAGGCAAUGACUGGGAUUUGAGUUUGUUCGUUUUUGUUGGGGCAUUUGGUUUGAGAUUUUUUAUUUAUGUGUUUGAUUUUGGAAUUUGGGCGUUGAUUGGGAGAGAUCACUUGCGUUUUUUUUUCCAAUCUGAACAGCUAAUUUGGUCAUGUGUUUGAUUUUGGCAUUUGGGUGUUUUGAUAUUACAUUUGUUUGUUAAUUGGCUUUCCCUUACCUACAUCAAUCCACACCCCCGCCUCUCCCUCUCCCUCUCAAUUUUAGCUGCAGGUGCUCACCAUGUCUCCCUCUCCUCCAUGUCUCCCUCUCCUUACAGCAUGUAUUUCGGAAUAAGGAAAUUUUUUAGGGGUGAAGAUAUUUUGAGCAAUCUUGCAACUCGUGCUUGGUGCUCACUUUUAUUUUUGUGGUCUAUUCUUUAGCAUUCUUUCCAAACUUGCAGUUACUCUCUUGAAGUAUGUGUUACUUUCCUUGCUGUUAUUUUUUUUUUGUCAAAUGAUUUUGCAAAUUUCCUGAUUAGGCCGACUACUCCUAAGCUUACUUUUCGUUCCAACUAUCUGGGGAACGUUAUUCAACCCCAUAUGUACCAAGGACUUGCAGCCUCUAGGUUUUUCCUUUUUUGUAAAGGACCUUAUAGGGGGAGGAGAGUGUGAUGGAGCCUAAUCUUUUACAUCCCACCAAAACCCAUUACAUGGGUCACUCCUAGGAAAUGAGAGACUCCAUUGUAUCAUUGUAUCAUUUGAUGUCAUUUUCCAAAAGUUUUCAGCCCAAAUAUUUGUUCAAAAGGACUUUCAUGCAUAAUGGUAUACCUUCGUGUUAUCAUUAGUAUUCUUUUUAAGGAGAGUUUUAUCUAUAGUAUUUCAAAAUUUACGGGAAGUAAAACUGGAAAGAUCCUCGAGUGUGGAAGAAUCCAAUGACACUGAUACUUGAUAGGUACUGUGUGUAAAUGAAGGUCAUAUUAUUUGCACAACACAAGCACUCAAGUUUAUGAGUUAAAUUGAUUAUUUUUUAAAGUAUUUCACAGUAGGGAUAGGAGGAGUUAACUAAUCCCCCUUUGGUCUUGAAAGAUAUUUGGUCAUUUCAUUACCAAACUGCUCGUCCAUACAUAGAAUAGAUGAAACCCCUCAAACCUAGUCCGUCAUGUUGAAUGUGACAAAUUCUCCAUUAUUUCCUUUGUCUCAGGAGAGGUAGACCAUGUGGGACAAGAUAUGAAACUUGACCUAUUAUUCCAUCUUAAUGAGUGUCUUCAAUCUGCAUAACCUAGACUUAGGGUAUUUUUUUACUUAGACUUAGGGUAGUUUUUUUCAAAAGCACUGGUCGAUUUGAAUGUUGACGUUUUUUGCAAAAUUGACUAGUCUUGUUUCUCAGUCAUUUUGCAAAAUUGACUAGUCUUGUUUCUCAGUCAGGUAUUUUACAUGUCCAGCAUAGGUGAGGGUUAUUUGUUUGAUUUGUUUUCAAUAGGAUGUUUAGUUACACUUUUUUGAGUUUUGUUGAGUUGGGCAAUUGUUGGUUAGAUUUUAUAGUGGUUCAUUCUUUUCUUUCUUUUUUUUUUCUGCUUUAGUGGUUUUCUAACAUAGUUCUUGUCGUGUUUAGUUCUCACUUUCAUUGUGGCAUGGGUUGUUUAGGAGCCUUGUCGAAUAGUUGAUUGGUUUCCAUUUUUCAAUGUAUUUACUCGAUUUUUUGAUAAAUAAAAUCUGAAAAGGUUUGUGGGUCUGCUGGUUGUGUUGCGUGUUGAUGUGGUUGUUUGUUGAUGUGGUCAUUAGGAGAAUUUGUUUUUGUGGUGUGUUAUUUUUGUUCUACUUUUCUAUAUAAACUAUGUUGAAUUGAAAAAAUCCUAAAUAAAUACUAAAAUUGUUCAACAAAUGGGGUGUUUGGCUACCCGCUCGAAAAAUAUGUUUCAAAGGCAAAACAACCUUCAAAACAUUUUUCAAGAUCUUUGACUGUGCACCAGUUUCAUGAAAACCUGGUUUUUCUCCAGGUUUUGGCAAGGCUUUUUUGGAGGGGGGAGGCUGAAUCCUGGUAUAAGAAAGGGUUAUACUUGGUAUUUAAAUCAGGCUUUACCAUGUCCAAUCUACUUAUUUCAGAUUCAGUUGAGGACAUAGUUCUAAAUUUUGGUACUAGAUUCUGGUUCAACUAGGUUGAAGUUUGAAAAUUUACAUGGGGAUGAGAUCCGUGUUGCCUCCUGAACAUGUAUCCAGUACACAACAAACUUGUGUACAAACUGGAUCUUUCUGAAUACAAGUCCUGUCAUCUUGGUUCUGUUUCUAAGCUAGCCAGUACUCAGAGCGGUGAGUGAAAACAGACCAUUGUCAUCCCUACUGGACUGGCUUCAGGUCCGACUUGUUGGUGGUCCUGGUUGUAGUCGAUGCAGUUGAAAAUCUAGCUGGUGAUGCAGUUGAAAAUCUAGCUGGUCUACGGUUAGAUGGAACCUGGAACCUAAAAGCUCGUUCUAUUUUUAACUUUUUCAGAGUAGUGUAAAAUACUUUGCUGUCUCGGGUUGCCAAUUUAUCUGAAUUUGUUUUCUUAUGAAGGCAAGACAGUAUUCUUGUUCUUUCCUUUUAAGGUUUGCUUAGGGAACUGUUUGAUGAAUGUUCUUGCGGAUGUCCGUUGGUUUUGGAACAGCAAGGCUGUCCUUUCCUUCCGCACAGUAGUUUGAUAUAGUUUUCUACUGCAAAAUCAAGUUUUUAUUAGUGUUCGUAACAAUGUUAUGGCAUCCAAAUUGAUUUGUGUGAAUUUUGACACUUGUCCUUAGGACAAGAUUCCUAAGAACGAAGAUUCCUUGUUCAUAAUUUUGUGCAGCAUUUGUUAUAAGAACAAAAUUUUCAACUUGCCCUGCCAUUUUAAGUCACACACACACACACACACACACAUAUAUAUAUAUAUAUACUUUUCUUCAAUAAAAAAAUUCACAUAUGCCAAAGGAAACUCGUUAGUUGGAGGGCCAUGGCCGUUAGGCACUAGAGGGGAAAUAGGGGAAAUCUGAGGGUCUGGGUGGCUCUAAUAUGAUGAUAAAAGGCUUUAAAGAUAGUGAAGAAAGUCGACCAGAUAUAGAGCAUGGAGGGAAACCUGUUGGGUUAGACAUAGGCAUGGUGGAUAAGAUGCUUGACUUACCUCUCAGGGAACCCAAUGUCAUUGUGAAUGGUAAGAAGACAGAGUUCAACAAGGAGGCUUUGCGCCCCCAAUCCAUAGAGCUGCAGCUUGGAAUGAGCAUGAAGAGGGCUUUCACCAAAGCCAAAAAAUUUGAACCAGUUUUGGGCCAGAGUGGUUGAAGACUUCAAUAAAGAUGAAGAAGCAGAACACCGAGGAACUUGAAGUGAUCUCAAUGGGAGAUGGGCAACCGAUAAUGAUUGUAGGGAAGUUCCAUGUAGCCACACAUUGGAUGAAUUCUCUCGGUAGAAAUCUUCCUUGGAGCUCUCAAUAUGGACACAACUCUCAAGACUCUUCUUUGUUAUGGAAUAGCAAGAUAGAUCAAUGCACUCAUGAGUUUAUUAGAGUUUCAAUUUCUCAACCACAAAUUGCAUCUUUCCCUGAUACCUGCCUCUAGUUGCUUGAGAUUUUAAUCCUCAGGCAUCCAGUUUUGAACGACAGGUUUUGGACCCUUUUUUUUUUGCUGACAUGAAAAUAAAAUACACCUGAUUCUAGCUUCAUAAUAAGCGUUUUUUGAAAUAGUUUUGAUGCUAAAAUUAAGGUCUGACUAACUGGAGCAUUGUUCUUGUUGUUUCCUUUUAAGGUUUGCUUAGGGAACUGUUUGAUGAAUGUUCUUGUGGAUGUCCGGUUUUGGAACAGCCAAUUUGAAUGGCUGUCCUUUCCGCACAGUAGUUUGAUAUAGUUUCUACUGCAAAAUCAAGUUUUUAGUUAGGUGGGAUAGAAUCGAUUAGUCUUCUUGUGUUUGAUUUUUUAGUUUGAUUGUUUAAUUGGGCUUUUAGGUCUGAAGGCACAAGGAUUUGUUGAGAGAUGACACAAGCCUGACAAGUGGGCUGACUGUUCGACCUGCUCUUCGUCGAUUGAGGCUAUUGCUUUUAAUCCAGUUCUUCCCCUUCCCAUAACCGAGAUGUAGAGGCCAUAACCCAGAUGUAGAGGAGAAGGUGGGCUGAGGUUGGUCCCCAAAGUAUAUUGGAAUGCAAGUUUGAAGUACGAUAGGCGCGACCUUGACGGAGGAGCGCCAUGUUCGUGAGGCUUGGACAGUCAUACAAGAGUAAGCUCGUCUCGUUCUCUGCCGUUUUAUGUUCUUAUCGUGAAAGGGUCCUUAUUGUAUUUCAAAAUUUACCUUAAGGACGAAUUAAUAAAAUCCACUCCAAACCCAUCGAACCUUGCCUUGGCGCACGCCAACCCGCUAAUCCCUUAAUACCCAGUUUUAUUUCUCGUUCACUGAACGACAGCAUCAAUUUGUUUGGAGAAAGAUGAGCGUACGUAGUGGAGCCAAUACUGUUGACCUGAGUACUGAAGCUGUUGAGGAAAAUCAAUACUAGUGGCAUUAUCUAUAUGAAGACCAAGGGAUGCUCAGCCAACAGCCCAUUAAGGUCGCUUCAUUCUGCCUUCCAUGAUUUGGUGGUCGGCUUUACAGAAGAAGAAGAAGAAGGGGUUUGGAUUUCUUGCUCAGAAGAAGGAUGAGCUAAUUCCUCAGAACAGGUAGCUGUACGAACUAUUUUUCCACAGAUAGCCAGCGGCUUGUUGUCUCAGCCAAGAUCUACGGAUGCAUGGUUUCACCUACCCGUAAGCAAGCACGUGUACAAAUGACUUGUGCAGAUCCUACUUCUGAUUUAAUUUUUCAACCAUCCAAUCGAAUUCAUGCUCGCCACUCAAAUAUCGACUUGGAUCUGGCAAAGAUGCGACCCAGUUAUGGUAAUUGCAUCUCAAUUCCGAGUAAUAAGCAGGAUGCUAAAUUCUAUUAGGAAAGAUUUGACAAAGGCUGGAAGUGGAGCAGAAUGCCUGCGUUUUGCGUAUCUACGGAUGAAGCAUGUCAUCACAAAGGGAAAUCCGCAAGCAAGCCCAUCGGGUCGUCCAUUUCAUAGCCCACUAAUGAAUGCGAUGAAUUUUUUCCUGUUUGUAUUGUUGGCGCAUGGAACCCUACUUUUCUGUCUUGUAGAAAACUUGUUCAUCAUGAAUACUGGAUUUUAUGUGGCUUUGUUAAAACAGUU